GCCCUCAUGGAUCAGUGGUAGAUCAUCCUUGCCAUCUUAUAUGCAUAAUCUUGUAGAAUGGUUUCAUGGAGGACGUGGGUUCGACUCCCGCUGAAGGCA